AACAAUCAAUAACAUGUUUUUUCUAUAGUUUUGAUGACAAAUAUAGAGAGUGUUGCCUGCAUACUGCAGGAAAGCUUCUUGAUUUUAUCUGCCGUCACACAACUGAUCCACAACGCUAUGAUGUUCCUCUUGGCUUCCUGGAUCUAUUCUGUCUCAUUUCCAAGUCAACAGAGACACGUCAUGAAGAGUUAUUCUGGGACACUUUAGAAACAAUAAAGAAAUGGCAUGGAAGUACCUUCGGAAACAGACUACUAAGUGGAUGGACUCCUGUGCAGUUUGCUGUACCCAGUGUAGUUGAGGUAUGGGAGAAGUUACUCUCACUAUCCUUUAGCCAUGAAGAAAACACGCAGUCAUGGAGGACGGCCUUAACGGAUGAUUUUGAGGCAAAGCUAAGAAAAGUAAGACGGUAUUUGUGAUUGUGUUUACAUCCUUGACAUGUGCAAUAAAGUGAGACAACUGAACAACUGUGCUUGCGUGGUAGGAAAAACCAAUUGAUCAAAUUGGAAUAUACUCUAACAAGAUGGAAGAACUGAGCCAGGCACGCUCCUCGCUAUGCAGCACAAUGGAGAAAUGUGCGUUGGAGGCUAUAGCAGUUAUUUGUCAGGUAUGAUUUUGAUAAUAUUUAAUAUUUACUUCAAUAAUUAAGAAUUGUGAUGUUAUUGUACACAUUCUGUUUUAAAAUUCCAACAAUUGGUAAGUAUUCUUACAGUUUAAAUUAAGAUGCUAGUAAGCGUUCCCAAAGACACUUGACCUUGUA